UGGGGAAUUUUGGACAAUGGGCGCAAGCCUGAUCCAGCAAUGCCGCGUGCAGGAUGAAGGCCUUCGGGUUGUAAACUGCUUUUGUACGGAACGAAAAGCCCUGGGUUAAUACCCUGGGGUCAUGACGGUACCGUAAGAAUAAGCACCGGCUAACUACGUGCCAGCAGCCGCGGUAAUACGUAGGGUGCGAGCGUUAAUCGGAAUUACUGGGCGUAAAGCGUGCGCAGGCGGUUUUGUAAGACAGAGGUGAAAUCCCCGGGCUCAACCUGGGAACUGCCUUUGUGACUGCAAGGCUAGAGUACGGCAGAGGGGGGAUGGAAUUCCGCGUGUAGCAGUGAAAUGCGUAGAUAUGCGGAGGAACACCGAUGGCGAAGGCAAUCCCCUGGGCCUGUACUGACGCUCAUGCACGAAAGCGUGGGGAGCAAACAGGAUUAGAUACCCUGGUAGUCCACGCCCUAAACGAUGUCAACUGGUUGUUGGGUCUUAACUGACUCAGUAACGAAGCUAACGCGUGAAGUUGACCGCCUGGGGAGUACGGCCGCAAGGUUGAAACUUAAAGGAAUUGACGGGGUCAUAGCUGUUUCCU
rnacentral:rRNA from 1 species